rnacentral:rRNA from 1 species
CCCGCCUGCGUGAAGUUGGAAUCGCUAGUAAUCGCGGAUCAGCAUGCCGCGGUGAAUACGUUCCCGGGCCUUGUACACACCGCCCGUCACACCAUGAGAGUCGGGAACACCCGAAGUCCGUAGUCUAACCGCAAGGGGACGCGGCCGAAGGUGGGUUCGAUAAUUGGGGUGAAGUCGUAACAAGGUACC